UUCCUGCUGUUUGGCGAGUACACAGAGCAAUGCAGUAUGUCUGUCAGCGCUGCGGCACAAAGGAACAGCCAUUUUGUGACUGAGCUGGACUUGCACCAAGAUGCCAGGGCCUCCGAGAACUGAUGCCUGCGCCAACUACCGAGCUGCCUUUUAUUUCAUCAUCAGAGUACUUAUGGGAAUGUGGGGAAAGGGAUGUUCUGAUAUUAGAAAGAACCAAAGUAGCAAGUUCAGACUCUAGGACCAUGGCCUGUUUUCAGUGAAUGUUCUAAGCUAUGUAUCCAUUUCAGUACAAGUACUCUCAGCUCUGAAACUGCAAUGAGAAAGCACAACAGAAUCUAAAACAAUACAGAAAUACAACUUUAAAUUAUUAAAAUGGGGCCUGUGAGAUUGUGCAAUAUAAUAUGUAAAGGGACUUCCCAACAUAUCUGAAAACGUUCAAAAACACCAGGACACUGACAGAAGCCUCUAAGAGCAGUGCAUUUAGUUUGGUGGAAUCUAUUUAUUUUUGUAGUUGUUUAAAGAACUACUAAAUAUGAGUAUUUUAAC
rnacentral:lncRNA from 1 species